CAAUUUUCAACUAUAAAAUCAUCACUACCACCGCUAGAUUCACCAUCACCAGAUCCAACCAAAACUACCACCACUGUCCUCAAAUCCAACAAAGCCACCGUGAAAUCCACCACCACUAGAUCCGCUAUCGAUCUAACAAAAAUCAUGACCACCUCCAAAUCCACUCCCACCGUCACCAACAAAAUCCAUCGGCAAAACAUGGAAAUCACAGCCACCAUCAUUCCAACAACUUGCUGCAACUCCAAAAAUACCAACAAAAUCCCUGAAACCAACAACCAAUGCACAAGGUCGCAUGAGGUACUUGUGUGCAUGGCUUCUCUACGCAGCAACGAUGAUACUGCUACUGCAGCGUUGCAACAGAGAAGCAUCGCUGAUGCCAUGAGCAGCCUUUGUGCGCGAUGCUACAUAGAGAAGCCUUGUCAACAGUUGCGCACGACUAGCGCGGUGCUGCAUUGUUGCUCCCUUUUCGUUUCGACGCCCUUCCACCUCCUCGCAGGCGCCUUUGCGUCUGGUGGCGAUGAUAAGGUUGAGAGAAUGAGAGGUAGAGUAGAGAGAGAAUGGUCGAGAAGGAGCAGGAAAAUGAAUAUUAGGGUUUGAGGUGUAGG
rnacentral:lncRNA from 1 species